rnacentral:rRNA from 1 species
AACGAACGCUGGCGGCGUGGAUAAGACAUGCAAGUCGAGCGGGAACUUUCGCUGUAGCAAUACAGUGAAAGUUCUAGCGGCGAACGGGUGCGUAACACGUGGACAAUCUGCCUUAAAGUGGGGGAUAGCUCGGCGAAAGCCGAAUUAAUACCGCAUGUGAUGAGAGACGACAUCGUCUUGAAAUCAAAGCCGGGGCAACCUGGCGCUUUUUGAGGAGUCCGCGGCCAUCAGCUUGUUGGUGAGGUAACGGCUCACCAAGGCUAUGACGGGUAGCUGGUCUGAGAGGACGACCAGUCACACUGGAACUGAGACACGGUCCAGACACC